UGAUAGUCAUGUGUGCUUUUUACCACUGGCAUUGAUACUGUUGACUCACAUACAGCAUGUCAGCCCUGGAGGUUCAGAUCCUAUUCAUCACAGCUGACAGCUAAACAUUCCCCAACUUCUCUGUACGCUUGUUGCUCUGCAUCUACAUCUUGCACGUCUUUACUGAAUUGCAGUCUCCUUUUUCAGAUUUAUUUCCUGUUUGUCAAGAUCACUUUGAAUUAUAGCCCUCCUGCCCAAAAUGCUUGCAGUUCCUCACAGGCUGGUGUAACUGCCAGUUUAAAAAGCUUCCUCUUUACUUCAUAACCACUUCAAGAACAAAUGCAUCUAAUGGUAUCAGCCCCAGGGCAGACGCCUGCAGAUGUCACAUUGGUAGUGAAUUAAUGAUAGCUACUUCUAAAUAGGUUUUCUAACAGUUUUGUACCUUCAGUGUGCAUAUUUCCUCUAGAGUAGGUAACAUUUGUGUAAGCAAACUAGGGAUAUGUGAAAAAGUGUCCAAAACUCUACAAAAGAUGGAUACAUAUGGCAUCUGCUGCCUCUUCCUUAUGCACAGUGUUACCCUCUCAAAGCAUGUUACUCUUUUCACAGAAACUAUGAUCUGACCCAAUUUAUUUUCAGCACAACUAUGAUGAAUGCUACUUCAGUCAAGCAGUUGUUUGAUUAUUCAUUCCCUGAUUUGUUUUUCUUUUUUAACAGGAGUUGCUGCUAAACCGAUGGUUAGGUAAUUUCCAAACACUUUUAAUCUUUUCCCUAUGCUUCUCUAGUUGUCCUUGCUCAGCCUUGAAGUUCCUAGAGAUGGUUCAAAGGACGAUCACAGCAGCAGAACUGCAGAGGAGUUACAAGGUAGAUAAGAAAGCAGUUCCCUUCAACCACAGGAGCACCUGCAGGAGAAGCUUGGACUGAGCUCUGAAGAAGAAAGCAGAAGAACCACAGUCACUGAAAGUGUUUUACACAGGAAUCCAGGCUGGAGUGAAUAAGCCUAUCAGGCUGGCACAGAGGAUUAGCAUGGUUGUCACAGGGUAGAAGAGAUGGUUGAACAAUGUCAACAUGAACAGCACAUCAGUCUUGCUGCCUCCUAAAUUGCCACAUAAUCAAUAUUCUCCCAGACUUAUCUUCCUUUUCUGAUGGCCAUUUAAGGCAGCACUGUCUGCUCAGCUCAGAUGUCUGCUGCUUCCCUUUGGUGUCUUUAACAAGGAGCAUCAGGAUCAUUUUCUCUGGAUAAUUGAACUCAUCUCUUACUGUACCUACUUGUGGUGAAUGUGUGAAUGGCAUGCUUUUUUGUGAUUGAGCAGCAAGAGAAAUGAAGUGGGAUGGCAACACUGCCCUGUAGUGGCUACAGGUCUGUGAAAUUUCAUCUUUACCCUGUUUCACUCCUUUCCUUUCUUCAAAGAGGAAGCACAGGUGAAAGAUGCUGACAGGCAAUUGUCCAUAUGAGUGCAUCUGUGUGCAGGAAUUUCUUGCAACAGUAUAAGUCCUUUGAAACAGUGGCCAAAUAUAAUCAGUCUGAAGACAGGAUGGGCAUUAUUUAAACAAGAUAUGAAAAGAUGGAAGGCAUGGAUAUUAAGGAUGGAGGGCAACACAGCAAAACAAGUAGCUGCUCUGAGUGGAGGCUCAGCAAAGCAGCAAAAGAGACUGGGCUUGUGAGACACUUGUUUCGCAAACAAAUUCUUUUAGUUCAACUUAAAAACAAGGAAGGAAGAUGUACUGAAGACCAGUCACACCUUAGCAAACAUUCGAGUGGCAUUGAUGGCAGUGACAUAACUGCUGAGCUGAAAAGGUUGGGCUCAGUAUCCUCAUGAACCUGAUGGACUGGUUUGGACAAACAGGCAAAACCUGAGAAUGAACCAGGGCCAGGGAACUCUGGCUGGGUGAAUAUUAUCUCCCACACUGAGUAAAUGCUCAGAGACAUCUAAUAAACUUAAGCAGGGUGUUUGUAGAUGGAAUAAAACCAGCAUUCUAUUAGUUUAUUUUCUUCCUGUAAAUGCUCUGUUUUUGAUUUUAGAUAUUAACAGUAUUCAAGCAAAGCUGAACAAUAAGACUGUCAAAUUUCCAUGUUCACCUCUUUCAUACUUCCCAAAACCAGAGGGAAAGAGCACAACCCAGCAGACUUGGUGGUUAAGUGCAGUGGACAGGCCCUGUGGACUAACCUUAAGCUGUACAGUAACUACAAAUUCCAGCUCUGGUAGAGGCAUAAGACUGAAGAGGAGAGAGGCUCUCGUAGCAACACUGGCCAAAGUCAGCAGGAAAAGCUACAUCUGUGUCAGAUGACUUAAAUUAAUGAGUUCUGUUGCUGUUAUAUAUUAAAGAGGAUCGUGUACUUAAAAAUUAUUUAAAUGCCCGUCCAAAAACCAACAUUCUCUUGGUGGCACUCUGCAGCAGGACUUGUUUCUGAAAACACCCAGAAUGCCUAGGGAUCUUGAUUUGACUCUGAAUUCAAUGUAAAUUGUCUUAGGAUAAUAAAAAAUUACCUAAAGAUAUUGAAUAAACUUAGGAUUCCCUGCACUA